GUUUAUGUAGUACUGUAGGUGUUAUGAGAGUUUAUGUAGUACUGCAUGUGUUAUGAGAGUUUAUGUAGUACUGUAUGUGUUAUGAUAGUUUAUGUAGUACUGUAGGUGUUAUGAGAGUUUAUGUAGUACUGUAGGUGUUAUGAGAGUUUAUGUAGUACUGUAGGUGUUAUGAGAGUUUAUGUAGUACUGUAUGUGUUAUGAGAGUUUAUGUAGUACUGUAUGUGUUAUGAGAGUUUAUGUAGUACUGUAGGUGUUAUGAGAGUUUAUGUAGUACUGUAUGUGUUAUGAGAGUUUAUGUAGUACUGUAUGUGUUAUGAGAGUUUAUGUAGUACUGUAUGUGUUAUGAGAGUUUAUGUAGUACUGUAGGUGUUAUGAGAGUUUAUGUAGUACUGUAUGUGUUAUGAGAGUUUAUGUAGUACUGUAUGUGUUAUGAGAGUUUAUUUAGUACUGUAUGUGUUAUGAGAGUUUAUGUAGUACUGUAGGUGUUAUGAGAGUUUAUGUAGUACUGCAUGUGUUAUGAGAGUUUAUGUAGCACUGUAGGUGUUAUGAGAGUUUAUGUAGUACUGCAUGUGUUAUGAGAGUUUAUGUAGCACUGUAGGUGUUAGUAGAGUUUCUGUAGUACUGUAGGUGUUAUGAGAGUUUAU